UUUUCUUUUCGGUAACUUAACCGAGAAGGAGGGAAUUCGGGAAGAUGGGGUUUAGGGAGGCGUCGAAGAUUUUACGUAUGGAAGGUCAAGGUGUGGUUUACAGAGAGAGAGAGAGAGAGAGGGAGGAGGAGGAUCUGCAGUUUCGUGUUUCUACGAACGAUGAGAGAGAAGCGAGCGAGAGAGAGAGAGAGAGAGGGUAUGGGGGGUCAAGCUGUGAAAGUGAAGAGAGAGAAGAUAGAGGCAAGCACGAAAUGCCCAAUCUGUAAUAAGCUCAUCAAGGAAGCCACCACCAUCUCUCUCUGCCUCCACACAUGCUGCAUUGUAAUUGGCUGGCUUCUUGAUUUGUGCGUGUUUCCUACGUGGGGCUGUGUUUGCUAUGCAUUUUGUCGUGUGCUCAAUUUACGUGGAAGCAAAGAGGAAAUGCAUAUACAAGAAGCUGUCCGAUGAGGAGGUAGAUUGCUGCCCAGUGUGCAAUAUCGAUCUCGGAUGUCUCUCGGUGGAGAAACUAAGAAAGUGCGUGACAACUUCAAGGCCCGACCACAAUUUGCCAGACAUUAGAGCUAAAAUUUUCCCCCUAAAGAGAAGAAAAAUAAAUGCCCCUGAACUGUUGGCCCCCGGCCCCACCACAGCCGAAGAAGAAGGAGAGGUUGCUCUCCUCUUUGGUGCGCAUUACAAUUGCCGAGGUCAUUGAACACGAAUGGUUCAAGGAAGGAUGUGAGCCUCCAGCCAAAGAAAGCUGCCUUGAUGACGGGACAAAAAAUGCUGCUUUCAUCAACUCAUCAUCAGGGUAUCAGGCUGGUGAUCCGGAAAAUAAUCUUGUCGACAAGCAGCUGAGGCGAAAAAGAGGACCUGCUAGUACUGCUGGCCCUGUCAGUAGUGUCAAUGCAUUUGACCUCUUAUCAACAUCACAGGGUCUCAACCUCAGUUCUCCUUUCGAAAAUCAAAUGGUAGUCGAUCUUCAAGCUUGCACUAUUAUAUUUGUUGUGUGUGUGUGUAUAUAUAUAUUCAAAGGCUGCUGUCUUCUCUCUCUCUCUCUCUCUCUCUCUCUCCAGACAUGUAUACAUAAAUUGGUCUCUCUGAUUGUAUCCUUUGUGGAGGAAAGGAGCCUGUGGAAAAGGAGAUGAGAUUUAUAUUGAACCGCCCAGCCCAUGAGAUAACCUCAAAGAUUGAACACACCGCGAAGGCAUUGGGUUUCGAUGUUGUGAAGAAAGUAAAAAACAAGGUAUUUGCUCCCUAUAUAAGCUAGCUAGGUAUAUAUAUAGGACUCAAAUUGUUUUCACAGAAUAUAUGCAGUGUGUGUGUUUUUUUUUUUUUUAUCUUGGGCUGGUUGUGUUCUGAUUGUUUGAUGGAUGGACACCGUUGCCGUGUACCUAAACACAAAUGAAGUUGCUGAGGUAGAAAAACGGACGACGAAAAAGUCAUUUAGCUGUUUUGA